GAUGAACGCUGGCGGCGUGCCUAAUACAUGCAAGUCGAGCGAACAGACGAGGAGCUUGCUCCUCUGACGUUAGCGGCGGACGGGUGAGUAACACGUGGAUAACCUACCUAUAAGACUGGGAUAACUUCGGGAAACCGGAGCUAAUACCGGAUAAUAUAUUGAACCGCAUGGUUCAAUAGUGAAAGACGGUUUUGCUGUCACUUAUAGAUGGAUCCGCGCCGCAUUGCUAGUUGGUAAGGUAACGGCUUACCAAGGCGACGAUGCGUAGCCGACCUGAGAGGGUGAUCGGCCACACUGGAACUGAGACACGGUCCAGACUCCUACGGGAGGCAGCAGUAGGGAAUCUUCCGCAAUGGGCGAAAGCCUGACGGAGCAACGCCGCGUGAGUGAUGAAGGUCUUCGGAUCGUAAAGCUCUGUUAUUAGGGAAGAACAAAUGUGUAAGUAACUAUGCACGUCUUGACGGUACCUACUCAGAAAGCCACGGCUAACUACGUG
rnacentral:rRNA from 1 species